UACGAAGGGGGCUAGCGUUGUUCGGAAUCACUGGGCGUAAAGCGCACGUAGGCGGACUUUUAAGUCAGGGGUGAAAGCCUGAGGCUCAACCUCAGAACUGCCCUUGAUACUGGGAGUCUUGAGUAUGGUAGAGGUUGGUGGAACAGCAAGUGUAGAGGUGAAGUUCGUAGAUAUUUGCUAGAACACCAGUGGCGAAGGCGGCCAACUGGACCAUAACUGACGCUGAGGUGCGAAAGCGUGGGGAGCAAACAGG
rnacentral:rRNA from 1 species